GACGAACACUGGCGGCGUGCUUAACACAUGCAAGUCGAACGGUGAAGCGCCUUCCUUUUUGGUGGGUGUGGAUGAGUGGCGAACGGGUGAGUAACACGUGAGUAACCUGCCCCCUUCUUCUGGAUAACCGCAUGAAAGUGUGGCUAAUACGGGAUAUUCUGGGUCUGUCGCAUGAUGGGUCUGUGAAAGAUAUUGUUUCGGUGGGGGAUGGGCUCGCGGCCUAUCAGCUUGUUGGUGGGGUGAUGGCCUACCAAGGCGGUGACGGGUAGCCGGCCUGGGAGGGUGGACGGUCACACUGGGACUGAGACACGGCCCAGACUCCUACGGGAGGCAGCAGUGGGGAAUAUUGCACAAUGGGCGCAAGCCUGAUGCAGCGACGCCGCGUGAGGGAUGGAGGCCUUCGGGUUGUGAACCUCUUUCGCCAGUGAAGCAGGCCUGCCUCGUUUGUGGGUGGGUUGACGGUAGCUGGAUAAGAAGCGCCGGCUAACUACGUG
rnacentral:rRNA from 1 species